rnacentral:rRNA from 1 species
UACGAAGGGUGCAAGCGUUAUUCGGAUUGACUGGGCGUAAAGUGUGUGUAGACGGUGUAUUAAGUCUGUCGUUAAAUUCCCUGGCUCAACUAGGGGCAGGCGAUGGAUACUAAUAUGCUAGAGGAUGAAAGAGAGAAGUGGAAUUCUCGGAGUAGCGGUAAAAUGCGUAGAUCUCGAGAGGAACACCAAUGGCGAAGGCAGCUUCUUGGUUCAUUUCUGACGUUGAGACACGAAAGCGUGGGGAGCAAAC